rnacentral:rRNA from 1 species
CCCUAGUAACGGCGAGUGAAGCGGCAACAGCUCAAAUUUGAAAUCUGGCGCAAGCCCGAGUUGUAAUUUGUAGAGGAUGCUUCUAGGUAGCGACCGGUCUAAGUUCCUUGGAACAGGACGUCAUAGAGGGUGAGAAUCCCGUAUGUGACCGGCCCGCACCUUCUACGUAGCUCCUUCGACGAGUCGAGUUGUUUGGGAAUGCAGCUCUAAAUGGGAGGUAAAUUUCUUCUAAAGCUAAAUACCGGCCAGAGACCGAUAGCGCACAAGUAGAGUGAUCGAAAGAUGAAAAGCACUUUGGAAAGAGAGUUAAAAAGCACGUGAAAUUGUUGAAAGGGAAGCGCUUACAACCAGACUUCUGGGCGGUGUUCCGCCGGUCUUUUGACCGGUCUACUCGCCGUCCCGAGGCCAACAUCAUCUGGGACCGCCGGAUAAGACCUCAGGAAUGUAGCUCCCUCGGGAGUGUUAUAGCCUGCGGUGAUGCGGCGCGUCUCGGGUGAGGUCCGCGCUUCGGCAAGGAUGUUGGCGUAAUGGUUGUCAGCGGCCCGUCUUGAAACACGGACCAAGGAGUCUAACAUCUAUGCGAGUGUUCGGGUGUCAAACCCCUACGCGUAAUGAAAGUGAACGGAGGUGGGAAGGGCAACCUGCACCAUCGACCGAUCCUGAUGUCCUCGGAUGGAUUUGAGUAAGAGCAUAGCUGUUGGGACCCGAAAGAUGGUGAACUAUGCCUGAAUAGGGUGAAGCCAGAGGAAACUCUGGUGGAGGCUCGCAGCGGUUCUGACGUGCAAAUCGAUCGUCAAAUUUGGGU